rnacentral:rRNA from 1 species
CCUACGGGUGGCAGCAGUGAGGAAUAUUGGUCAAUGGCGGGAACGCUGAACCAGCCAAGCCGCGUGAAGGACGACGGUGCCAAGCAUUGUAAACUGCUUUUAUCCAGGGAUAAACUCAGUCUCGAGAGGCUUAUCGAAGGUACUUCAUGAAUAAGCAUCGGCUAAAUCCGUGCCAGCAGCCGCGGUAAUACGGAAGGUGCGAGCGUUAUCCGGAUUUAUUGGGUUUAAAGGGUGCGUAGGCGGACCUUUAAGGGAGCUGUGAAAUGCCGGGGCUCAACCGCGGCGGGGCAGAGGAAACUGGGGGGCUUGAGAUGGCGAGAGGUAGGCGGAAUGCGUGGUGUAGCGGUGAAAUGCUUAGAUAUUGCGAAGAACUCCGAUUGCGAAGGCAGCAUACCGUAGGGGUUCUGACGCUGAGGCACGAAGGCGUGGGUAUCGAACAGGAUUAGAUACCCUUGUAGUC